rnacentral:lncRNA from 1 species
GAAUGAUGAAUACAAAGGGGGGGCCGGCCAUCACUUAUAUAGGCCACCAACUAAUCCUAAUCUUAAUAAAAAACUUCAAAUUUAAACCUAAUUAAUAGAUAAUGCUAAAGAAAUUCGGCUGCCCACUUUAAAUGGGCUAUUUUGGGCCGAAUUUUAACAUGCAAUUUUCCUAAAGCCUAAAAAUUAAAUUAACAAUUAAAAUGAUUUACAAAUUGGGCCCUUUGGCAUUUUGUCCUGAUUUCCAACUAAGUAUGUAUAAAUUUCUUGAUUGGGCUGGAAUUUGCUUAUUGGGCCUCGCCUUCAAGAAUUUGGGCUCGUGAUCCAUCUACUACCGAAAUUGAGUCGUUGAUGCUCGUAACGGAGAUCCA